CCAUCCGGAGCAGUAAAUGCCCAAGACUCAUAUCUGCUGCAAACCCAGUCUCAAGUCCUUGGAGAAUGAGGAGAGGAAUGUGGCCAUCACGAUCAAAGCCAGAAUGACUGUCUAUCUAAACUGGCCCCGGCUUUCUGUGUUCUGACAACUGACAUGGCUAUAUUUUUAUUACUGCUUAAAAACAAUAGUUGAGAAAAAUGGGUCUAGACCCGGAGUUGAGUAAACAAGACAUUAAUGACCCUAUCCCUUACCUUAUAGUGGUUUCUUCCUGGAAGCUCAUUGGCUGAGCGGGGCUAUAAGUCCGUCAGAGAGAUCCGAAUUCAAAGGAAAGAAUUUGAUUGAAUAAUGUGGAUUGCAUCGUGUGGCAAUUUAAUACGUUCUGCCGUGUUACUGGAACAUGAACAGAAAAGAAUUAAAGAGAAUUAAAUAGGAGGAAAAUGAAUUGCAGAGAGGAAGGAACAGCAAAAAGAACCAUGAAGAAUGAACUUCUAGAGAAGCAAAGACCCUGGAUGAAUAAACAAAGAGGAGGAACGUCUUCUCCAGAAAGUAUCAUUUCGUCUUCUUGAAUCUGAU